GUUUCUAUAGUUGAAUAACAACGAUGAUUUUUCAUGUCAUUGGUCA
rnacentral:tRNA from 2 species